UUCAGUUGCCACCCGGCGCCGGGGUCCGCGGGGACGGGAGCGGGGAGCAGCAGCAGGAGGAGGAGGAGGAGGAGGAAGGCGGGCGGCCCGGGCGCGGUGCGGAGCCCGGGCAUGGUGCGGGAGAGGCUCCUUCAGACCCAGACGUGCUUUCCCUGGGACACAGCUGAAAUAUUCCAAAAACUGUGCACAAGAAGCAGAGGGAAGCAUUCCUCCCUGAAAUAAAUCUCACUGAGUGAAGCUUUUUGGAACCAGUGUGGUCAUAUCUCUUGUAACGGGAAGAAAAUGAACUGAGACAGCGGCCAGAUUCCCUUAAGAUGGUUUUUGGGAUACAAGUGGGCUUCUUGCCUUGCUGCUCCUGGAAGCAUCUCUUGGAAACACUGAAUGUGGUAAAAUGUAAAAGGCUGCAACCCUUUCUUUGUUAAAAAUGCUGGGUUUUAAUGAUCUACUCUGUUACCAUCCAAGCAAAUGGGUAUUUGCAUGUGCAGCUGGGAGUCUAUUUUUAUGGUUCUGGACGUGUAUUGGGGAAUAUUUCUGGGCUGGGACCUCAGAGAAGUGAAUCAGAACUCUGGUUAAAGACUUAAACUGUCUCCUGUGGAGCUUUAAGUCUCUUUUUAUUACUGUAAUGCUUUUUCAUAGAACUUGUAAUUCAGUAUUUCUGAGGCUUCCCUCAGUGAGGGAAAUUACUACAAUUUUUACAUUAUUACAACUAUCACAAUAAAGGUAUAAUAUCAUUCUUUAUAA